AACCAGCAGCUAGAGUGGAGUUCACUUUGAUUGAGCCAGAAGCGUUCGUAGCCUGCUCUGUAAAUCUUCAGACAAAUUCUUCUGCUUAACGGAAGAUCCUCUGGAGAGACUGCAGAGCAAGGGACCGUGUGAGGUUGAAGGUACUUCCGGGGUAGGGGUAAAAUCCUGUAAUCCUGGAAGGACGACCGGUGGCGAAGGCGUUCAACUAGAACGGAUCCGACAGUGAGGACAGAUGGCUAGGGGAGCAAACCGG
rnacentral:rRNA from 1 species